CCUACGGGUGGCAGCAGUGGGGAAUAUUGCACAAUGGGGGAAACCCUGAUGCAGCGACGCCGCGUGAGCGAAGAAGUAUUUCGGUAUGUAAAGCUCUAUCAGCAGGGAAGAAAAUGACGGUACCUGAGUAAGAAGCUCCGGCUAAAUACGUGCCAGCAGCCGCGGUAAUACGUAUGGAGCAAGCGUUAUCCGGAUUUACUGGGUGUAAAGGGAGCGCAGGCGGCCUUGCAAGUCUGAUGUGAAAUACCGGGGCUCAACCCCGGAGCUGCAUUGGAAACUGUGAGGCUGGAGUGUCGGAGAGGCAGGCGGAAUUCCUAGUGUAGCGGUGAAAUGCGUAGAUAUUAGGAGGAACACCAGCGGCGAAGGCGGCUUACUGGACCGUGACUGACGUUGAGGCUCGAAAGCGUGGGGAGCAAACAGGAUUAGAUACCCGAGUAGUC
rnacentral:rRNA from 1 species